UGAGGAAUAUUGGGCAAUGGGCGAGAGCCUGACCCAGCAACGCCGCGUGGAGGAAGACGGCCUUCGGGUUGUAAACUCCUUUUGACGGGGAAUAGAGAGGACGGUACCCGUCGAAUAAGUCACGGCUAACUACGUGCCAGCAGCCGCGGUAAUACGUAGGUGACAAGCGUUAUCCGGAAUUACUGGGCGUAAAGCGCACGCAGGCGGCAGAUUAAGUCUGACGUGAAAUCUCCUGGCUUAACUGGGUAGGGGUCGUUGGAAACUGGUCAGCUUGAGGUGGUGAGAGGGGUGUAGAAUUCCCGGUGUAGUGGUGGAAUGCGUAGAUAUCGGGAGGAAUACCAGUGGCGAAAGCGACACCCUGGCACUAGCCUGACGCUCAUGCGCGAAAGCGUGGGGAGCAAA
rnacentral:rRNA from 1 species